GACGAACUGUCCAAACGUUGUUCGGAAUCACUGGGCUUAAAGGGCUCGUAGGCGGCCAACUAAGUCAGACGUGAAAUCCCUCGGCUUAACCGGGGAACUGCGUCUGAUACUGGAUGGCUUGAGUUUGGGAGAGGGAUGCGGAAUUCCAGGUGUAGCGGUGAAAUGCGUAGAUAUCUGGAGGAACACCGGUGGCGAAGGCGGCAUCCUGGACCAACACUGACGCUGAGUGAGCGAAAGCCAGGGGAGCAAACGGG
rnacentral:rRNA from 1 species